CCUACGGGAGGCAGCAGUGGGGAAUAUUGCACAAUGGGGGAAACCCUGAUGCAGCGACGCCGCGUGAGUGAAGAAGUAUUUCGGUAUGUAAAGCUCUGUCAGCAGGGAAGAAAAUGACGGUACCUGACCAAGAAGCCCCGGCUAACUACGUGCCGGCAGCCGCGGUAAUACGGAGGGGGCAAGCGUUAUCCGGAUUUACUGGGUGUAAAGGGAGCGUAGACGGCAGGGCAAGUCUGGAGUGAAAGGUGGGGGCUCAAACCCCGGACUGCUCUGGAAACUGCCAGGCUGGAGUACAGUAGAGGUAAGUGGAAUUCCUAGUGUAGCGGUGAAAUGCGUAGAUAGUAGGAGGAACACCAGUGGCGAAGGCGGCUUACUGGACUGUAACUGACGUUGAGGCUCGAAAGCGUGGGGAGCAAACAGGAUUAGAUACCCGUGUAGUC
rnacentral:rRNA from 1 species